AUGAAGCUUCUCCCGGCCGUCCUCGGCCUCGCCCUCCUCCUCCUCGUCCUGUGUCCCAAUGGCGUGGAGGCCCGGCCUGCGCCUACCGGCGGUCAUGAGAAGAAGUCGUCGAGCGCCACCUUCUUUGUCUUCGGGGAUGACUUCGCUGACAACGGGAACCUCCCUCCGACCGAACCCGUCACCGAAAUGUCGCGGCAAUGGGCUUACCCCUACGGCUCCAACUACGUCGAUGCCGAUGGGUUUCCGCGGCCGAAUGCCCCGUCCGGCCGCUUCUCAAACUACAAGAUCCAGCCGGAUUUCAUCGCAACAAUGUUGGGGUUGGAGGAAGCCCCUCCAGCACAUGCCCGUACAGCAGAGAAAACUUGCGACCCGUCCGGCAUGACUUUUGCUACGGGUGGCGCAGCGGUGUUGGAUAGUACAUCACAUGAGGUUCCCACCUUUACCAAGCAAGUAGAUACUUUCAGGAAGAUGGUCAAAGACGGGACCAUCACGGAGAAACAAUUGACUCACUCUGUAGCGCUCGUGGCCUUCUCCGGCAAUGAUUAUGCAAGCACCGGCGUCAUUGGCCUAAGUAGCCCCAACGAUAUUAAUGCUUAUAUUGGGAAAGUGACAAAAGAGAUGGCUGCUAAUGUGGAGCAAUUGUUGAACCUUGGGGUGACAAAGGUUCUUGUCAACAACUUGCAUCCUGUCGGUUGCACGCCAUCACAAACCCGAACUAACAACUACACUACGUGCGAUAUUUUUGAAAACUUGGGUGCUUCCAUCCAUAACAAUAACCUGAAACAAGUUAUGACAGCAAAGAAGAAUGUCCACAUCGUCGAUCUGUACACCACAUUCAUUAAUAUUGUGGAUCAUGUGCCUGGUAAAGGCUCAGAGCAAUCGAAGCAAUUCAAGCGCAAACUAUCACCGUGUUGCGAGAGUUUAGAUUCGAAGGGUUACUGUGGUCAGCAAGGCGAGUUGUCCACAGAGCUUCUUUACACCGUGUGCGACAAGUCCAAUAAAUUUUUCUAUUGGGACGACAUGCAUCCCACGCACGCGGGAUGGGAGGCUGUCAUGAAACAAUUGGAAAAGCCCUUGAGGGAGUUUUUAGAUCAAGACUAG
rnacentral:rRNA from 1 species